rfam:Helicosporidium sp. ATCC 50920 contig-5181, whole genome shotgun sequence.
AAAAUGGUGUUAUUAAACACCACCUUUAUGGAUUUGAAUUUUGCUU